GACGCCUUCGGGUUGUAAAGCCCUUUUGUUGGGAAAGAAAUCCAGCUGGUUAAUACCCGGUUGGGAUGACGGUACCCAAAGAAUAAGCACCGGCUAACUUCGUGCCAGCAGCCGCGGUAAUACGAAGGGUGCAAGCGUUACUCGGAAUUACUGGGCGUAAAGCGUGCGUAGGUGGUCGUUUAAGUCCGUUGUGAAAGCCCUGGGCUCAACCUGGGAACUGCAGUGGAUACUGGGCGACUAGAGUGUGGUAGAGGGUAGCGGAAUUCCUGGUGUAGCAGUGAAAUGCGUAGAGAUCAGGAGGAACAUCCAUGGCGAAGGCAGCUACCUGGACCAACACUGACACUGAGGCACGAAAGCGUGGGGAGCAAACAGGAUUAGAUACCCUGGUAGUCCACGCCCUAAACGAUGCGAACUGGAUGUUGGGUGCAAUUUGGCACGCAGUAUCGAAGCUAACGCGUUAAGUUCGCCGCCUGGGGAGUACGGUCGCA
rnacentral:rRNA from 1 species